rnacentral:rRNA from 1 species
ACGCUCGACACCUACGGGAGGCAGCAGUGGGGAAUAUUGCACAAUGGGGGAAACCCUGAUGCAGCGACGCCGCGUGAGCGAAGAAGUAUUUCGGUAUGUAAAGCUCUAUCAGCAGGGAAGAAGAAAGACGGUACCUGACUAAGAAGCCCCGGCUAACUACGUGCCAGGAGCCGCGGUAAUCUGAGCGGGCUGGCAAGGC